rnacentral:lncRNA from 1 species
AGCAACAGUGACUAUCAGUCUACUUUCAUAUCCUGUUUUAUUUAGUUCUCUGUUAUUUUUCUCCUAUUUUCUAUUAUUUUUAUUUUGUUGUUGUUAAUGCUCUUGAGAUUCAUUCUACCCUUUAUAAAAACUGAAUUUUAGAUCUAAUAUAUCAAAAAGGAAAUUGAACUUGAUUAGGCAAGGAUAGACCCAGGAUAAGGAUAAUGGUAAAAAAGGGAUGCUUAGAACUAGAGAAAAAUGGAAUCUACUUUCAUUCCUUCAUUCUUGCAUUUAUUGUUCCCUUCCUCUAUAUAGGUGGGAAUGGGUUUGGAGAGCAUCAGAAUUAAGGCCUAGUUUCUUUCUGUA